GACAGAGGUCCCGAGCGUUAGGCGGAAUCACUGGGCUUAAAGCGUGUGUAGGCGGAUUUGUAAGUACCUUGUGAAAUCCCACAGCUUAACUGUGGAACUGCUUGGUAUACUGCUUAUCUUGGGCCACUUAGGGGUUACCGGAACAAACGGUGGAGCGGUGAAAUGCGUAGAUAUCGUUUGGAACGCCAAUGGUGAAAACAGGUAACUGGGGAGUGUGCCGACGCUGAGAUACGAAAGCCAGGGGAGCGAACGGG
rnacentral:rRNA from 1 species